rnacentral:sRNA from 1 species
AUGUACCACGCGUACAUGCCGGUUCCGAGCACCGUCUGCAGCCACCUGACGGCUGCGUUUUGCUAGCC